rnacentral:rRNA from 1 species
GCAUAACGCGAAGAACCUUACCAAGGCUUGACAUACACGAGAACGGGCCAGAAAUGGUCAACUCUUUGGACACUCGUGAACAGGUGGUGCAUGGUUGUCGUCAGCUCGUGUCGUGAGAUGUUGGGUUAAGUCCCGCAACGAGCGCAACCCUCGUCCUAUGUUGCCAGCACGUAAUGGUGGGAACUCAUGGGAUACUGCCGGGGUCAACUCGGAGGAAGGUGGGGAUGACGUCAAAUCAUCAUGCCCCUUAUGUCUUGGGCUUCACGCAUGCUACAAUGGCCGGUACAAAGGGCUGCAAUACCGUAAGGUGGAGCGAAUCCCAAAAAGCCGGUCCCAGUUCGGAUUGAGGUCUGCAACUCGACCUCAUGAAGUCGGAGUCGCUAGUAAUCGCAGAUCAGCAACGCUGCGGUGAAUACGUUCCCGGGUCUUGUACACACCG